GACGUAGGGCGCGAGCGUUGUCCGGGUUUAUUGGGCGUAAAGAGCUCGUAGGCGGCUUGUCGCGUCGUCCGUGAAAACCUGCAGCUCAACUGCAGGCUUGCGGUCGAUACGGGCAGGCUGGAGUUCGGUAGGGGAGACUGGAAUUCCUGGUGUAGCGGUGAAAUGCGCAGAUAUCAGGAGGAACACCGGUGGCGAAGGCGGGUCUCUGGGCCGAUACUGACGCUGAGGAGCGAAAGCGUGGGGAGCGAACAGG
rnacentral:rRNA from 1 species